AUUGAACGCUGGCGGCAUGCUUUACACAUGCAAGUCGAACGGCAGCGCGGGGCAACCUGGCGGCGAGUGGCGAACGGGUGAGUAAUAUAUCGGAACGUACCCAAGAGUGGGGGAUAACGUAGCGAAAGUUACGCUAAUACCGCAUACGAUCCAUGGAUGAAAGUGGGGGAUUCGCAAGAACCUCAUGCUCCUGGAGCGGCCGAUAUCUGAUUAGCUAGUUGGUGAGGUAAAGGCUCACCAAGGCGACGAUCAGUAGCUGGUCUGAGAGGACGACCAGCCACACUGGGACUGAGACACGGCCCAGACUCCUACGGGAGGCAGCAGUGGGGAAUUUUGGACAAUGGGCGCAAGCCUGAUCCAGCAAUGCCGCGUGAGUGAAGAAGGCCUUCGGGUUGUAAAGCUCUUUUGUCAGGGAAGAAACGGUUGGGGCUAAUAUCCCCGGCUAGUGACGGUACCUGAAGAAUAAGCACCGGCUAACUACGUGCCAGCAGCCGCGGUAAUACGUAGGGUGCAAGCGUUAAUCGGAAUUACUGGGCGUAAAGCGUGCGCAGGCGGUUUUGUAAGUCUGUCGUGAAAGCCCCGGGCUCAACCUGGGAAUUGCGAUGGAGACUGCAAGGCUUGAAUCUGGCAGAGGGGGGUAGAAUUCCACGUGUAGCAGUGAAAUGCGUAGAGACGUGGAGGAACACCGAUGGCGAAGGCAGCCCCCUGGGUCAAGAUUGACGCUCAUGCACGAAAGCGUGGGGAGCAAACAGGAUUAGAUACCCUGGUAGUCCACGCCCUAAACGAUGUCUACUAGUUGUCGGGUCUUAAUUGACUUGGUAACGCAGCUAACGCGUGAAGUAGACCGCCUGGGGAGUACGGUCGCAAGAUUAAAACUCAAAGGAAUUGACGGGGACCCGCACAAGCGGUGGAUGAUGUGGAUUAAUUCGAUGCAACGCGAAAAACCUUACCUACCCUUGACAUGUCAGGAACCUCCGAGAGAUUGGAGGGUGCCCGAAAGGGAACCUGAACACAGGUGCUGCAUGGCUGUCGUCAGCUCGUGUCGUGAGAUGUUGGGUUAAGUCCCGCAACGAGCGCAACCCUUGUCAUUAGUUGCUACGAAAGGGCACUCUAAUGAGACUGCCGGUGACAAACCGGAGGAAGGUGGGGAUGACGUCAAGUCCUCAUGGCCCUUAUGGGUAGGGCUUCACACGUCAUACAAUGGUACAUACAGAGGGCCGCCAACCCGCGAGGGGGAGCUAAUCCCAGAAAGUGUAUCGUAGUCCGGAUCGCAGUCUGCAACUCGACUGCGUGAAGUUGGAAUCGCUAGUAAUCGCGGAUCAGCAUGUCGCGGUGAAUACGUUCCCGGGUCU
rnacentral:rRNA from 1 species